rnacentral:rRNA from 1 species
GACGAACGCUGGCGGCGUGCUUAACACAUGCAAGUCGAACGCUCCUGUCCUCUGGGUUUCUGGGGGGUGGGUGAGUGGCGAACGGGUGAGUAACACGUUAGGAACCUUCCCCCUUCUUCCGGAUAACGGUCUGAAAGGUCUGCUAAUACCGGGUAUUCACUGGUCUCCGCCUUGGUUCUUGUGGGAAGGUUUUUUUCUGGUGGGGGAUGGGGUCGCGGCCUAUCAACUGGUUGGUGGGGUAAUGGCCCACCAAGGCUUUGACGGGUGGCCGGCCUGGUAGGGUGACCGGUCAGAUUGGGACUGAGGUACGGCCCAGACUAGUAAGGGAGGGAGUAGGGGGGAAUAUGGCGGAAUGGGCGCAAGCGUGGUGCAGCGCCGGGGGGUGAGGGAUGGAGGCCGUCGGGUUGUGAAUCUCUUUGGGAAGUGGUCAAGCCGCGACGGGGGGCGUGGUGAGGGUAGUGGGUAAAGAAGCGCCGGCUAACUACGUG